AGCAGCCGCGGUAAUUCCAGCUCCAAUAGCGUAUAUUAAAGUUGUUGCAGUUAAAAAGCUCGUAGUUGAAUUUCGGGGUUAGUAGGUUGGUCGUGCCACUGGUACGUACUGGUCUCACUGACUCCUCCUUCCUGAUGAACUGUAAUGCCAUUAAUUUGGUGUUGCGGGGAAACUGGACUGUUACUUUGAAAAAAUUAGAGUGUUUAAAGCAAGCUAACGCUUGAAUACAUUAGCAUGGAAUAAUGAAAUAGGACGUUCGAUCCUAUUUUGUUGGUUUCUAGGAUUGACGUAAUGAUUAAUAGGGAUAGUUGGGGGCAUUAGUAUUCAAUUGUCAGAGGUGAAAUUCUUGGAUUUAUUGAAGACUAACUACUGCGAAAGCAAUUUGCCAAGGAUGUUUUCAUUAAUCAAGAACGAAAGUUAGGGGAUCGAAGACGAUCAGAUACCGUCGUAGUCUUAACCAUAAAACUAUGCCGACUAGGGAUCGGAUGAUGUUAAUUUUUUAAUGACUCAUUCGGCGCCU
rnacentral:rRNA from 1 species